UGGGGUAUUUUGCACAAUGGGGGAAACCCUGAUGCAGCGACGCCGCGUGAUUUAGAAGGCCUUCGGGUUGUAAAAAUCUUUUCUAUGGGAAGAAAAUGACAGUACCAUAGGAAUAAGGACCGGCUAAUUACGUGCCAGCAGCCGCGGUAAUACGUAAGGUCCGAGCGUUGUCCGGAAUCAUUGGGCGUAAAGGGUACGUAGGCGGGUAAGCAAGUUAGAAGUGAAAUCCUAUAGCUCAACUAUAGUAAGCUUUUAAAACUGCUCAUCUUGAGGUAUGGAAGGGAAGGUGGAAUUCCUAGUGUAGCGGUGAAAUGCGCAGAUAUUAGGAGGAAUACCGGUGGCGAAGGCGACUUUCUGGCCAUAACCUGACGCUGAGGUACGAAAGCGUGGGUAGCAAACAGG
rnacentral:rRNA from 1 species